ACCAAUUAUUUUACCACGUAUAUAAUGACUAGUAGGUCGUGUGAUGAACAAUAUGUAACCUGAUUGAAUAAUAUGAAUUCAUUGGUUAUCAGAUGAUAGUGCUAUGAAUUCUGUGUAAACAAUAUGUAUAGUUCCUUGCAACUGAUCAGAACGAAAUCUAUUGGAUGCCUUAUUAUUUUUUCUUUCAUGGAACCCUUCAUAGCCUCUAUAUUUUUUAAACAGAAUGCAAUCG
rnacentral:lncRNA from 1 species